GUAUUCAGUGCACUCUCACUUUUUCUGGAAGACAUCAGAGCCAUUCACAGAACUCAUUGUUUUGACCACACAGGGAGUGCAGCCAUCACAGUGGGGGUGUAUUCACACCUCUGGUUGCGGGAGUGAAGACACAAGGACUUCUAAUUGCUUUGAUGGCACAGGAACAGUGGCAUCACAGAGCCUCGUGAUGGAUGUGCCGGUACUGGACCUGAGGCCGGUCUGGCGGAGCAGUCGCUCCUUCUGCCACUUCAGCAGCUCGUUCUGCUCUCCCUGCUGGCAGUACUGGAACAGCAGCCACACCAGCCAGCCGACAUCAUUCUCCACAAGCCACCUGAAGGUCUGACCGGCGUACUUCCCGAACGUGAUGACCAGCUGACCUUUCCAAAGGUCUCUGCCGUCUUGAGAUCCAGCCAUUUAGGGUCAACAACAGUGCUGCUGCGGUCCUCUGCCACAGACCUUGCUGCCUCUGUACAGUACAGCCUGGCCUCUCCUUGCCGGUACAAAAUGAUGUUGGGGUACUGGUGUAGCUGUUGAUGGCUGACCAGCGAUGGUUUAGUGGCCAAGCUCUUCCCGCAGACGUCACAGAUAAAGGUCUCCCUGGCGAUGGCAUGGAUCUU